GAUGAACGCUAGCUACAGGCUUAACACAUGCGAGUCGAGGGGCAGCAUGAACUUAGCUUGCUAAGUUUGAUGGCGACCGGCGCACGGGUGAGUAACACGUAUCCAACCUGCCGAUGACUCGGGGAUAGCCUUUCGAAAGAAAGAUUAAUACCCGAUGGCAUAGUUCUUCCGCAUGGUAGAACUAUUAAAGAAUUUCGGUCAUCGAUGGGGAUGCGUUCCAUUAGGUUGUUGGCGGGGUAACGGCCCACCAAGCCUUCGAUGGAUAGGGGUUCUGAGAGGAAGGUCCCCCACAUUGGAACUGAGACACGGUCCAAACUCCUACGGGAGGCAGCAGUGAGGAAUAUUGGUCAAUGGACGAGAGUCUGAACCAGCCAAGUAGCGUGAAGGAUGACUGCCCUAUGGGUUGUAAACUUCUUUUAUACGGGAAUAAAGUGAGGCACGUGUGCCUUUUUGUAUGUACCGUAUGAAUAAGGAUCGGCUAACUCCGUG
rnacentral:rRNA from 1 species